GACGAACGCUGGCGGCGUGCCUAAUACAUGCAAGUAGAACGCUGAAGAGAAGAGCUUGCUCUUCUUGGAUGAGUUGCGAACGGGUGAGUAACGCGUAGGUAACCUGCCUGGUAGCGGGGGAUAACUAUUGGAAACGAUAGCUAAUACCGCAUAAAAUUGAUUAUUGCAUGAUAAUUAAUUGAAAGAUGCAAUUGCAUCACUACCAGAUGGACCUGCGUUGUAUUAGCUAGUUGGUGAGGUAACGGCUCACCAAGGCGACGAUACAUAGCCGACCUGAGAGGGUGAUCGGCCACACUGGGACUGAGACACGGCCCAGACUCCUACGGGAGGCAGCAGUAGGGAAUCUUCGGCAAUGGGGGGAACCCUGACCGAGCAACGCCGCGUGAGUGAAGAAGGUUUUCGGAUCGUAAAGCUCUGUUGUAAAGAGAAGAA
rnacentral:rRNA from 1 species